GAUCAUGGCUCAGGAUGAACGCUAGCUACAGGCUUAACACAUGCAAGUCGAGGGGCAGCAUUGGAGUAGCAAUACUCAGAUGGCGACCGGCGCACGGGUGAGUAACACGUAUCCAACCUGCCGCUUACUCGGGGAUAGCCUUUCGAAAGAAAGAUUAAUACCCGAUGGUAUAAAGAGUUCGCAUGUUCUCUUUAUUAAAGAAUUUCGGUAAGCGAUGGGGAUGCGUUCCAUUAGAUAGUUGGCGGGUAACGGCCCACCAAGUCUACGAUGGAUAGGGGUUCUGAGAGGAAGGUCCCCCACAUUGGAACUGAGACACGGUCCAAACUCCUACGGGAGGCAGCAGUGAGGAAUAUUGGUCAAUGGACGAGAGUCUGAACCAGCCAAAGUAGCGUGAAGGAUGACUGCCCUAUGGGUUGUAAACUUCUUUUAUAAGGGAAUAAAGUGAGGGACGUGUCCCUUUUUGUAUGUACCUUAUGAAUAAGGAUCGGCUAACUCCGUGCCAGCCGCCGC
rnacentral:rRNA from 1 species